GGCGGCGUGGAUAAGACAUGCAAGUCGAGCGCUGAUUACAGGGUAGCAAUAUUCUGUGGUCGGAGCGGCGCAAGGGUGCGUAACACGUGGGUAAUCUGCCGUGAAGUUUGGGAUAACUUGCUGAAAGGCGAGCUAAUACCGGAUGUGAAAAUUGGAAGGCAUCUUUUGAUUUUCAAAGCUGGGGACCGUAAGGCCUGGCGCUUCAUGAUGAGCCCGCGGCCUAUCAGCUAGUUGGUAAGGUAACGGCUUACCAAGGCUAAGACNGGUAGCUGGUCUGAGAGGACGACCANCCACACUGGAACUGAGACACGGUCCAGACACCUACGGGUGGCAGCAGUCGAGAAUUUUUCACAAUGGGCGCAAGCCUGAUGGAGCGACGCCGCGUGGGGGAUGAAUGGCUUCGGCCCGUAAACCCCUGUCAUUUGCGAACAAAUUGCUUUACCUAACACGUGGAGCAUUGAUAGUAGCGAAAGANGAAGGGACGGCUAACUCUGUGCCAGCAGCCGCGGUAAUACAGAAGUCCCAAGCGUUGUUCGGAUUCACUGGGCGUAAA
rnacentral:rRNA from 1 species